rnacentral:lncRNA from 1 species
AACAUGUCUUCUUUCCACUGUAUACUGGAAUCAAAUAAAACAGUAUCUGUAAAUCAUCUAGGUGGGCAAUCAGACUUGCUCAAUUAAUGUUAAUUCCAUGUCAGUUGAAACAACAACAAUAAAGGAGACCAAACAUGAAGACUGGUAACCACCUGCUCCUGAGGUAUUGGUUUUAACCCAUUUUUUGUUAUGUUUUGUUUUGUUUUUUUAGAACAGGAAGGAAAUAAACAAAUGGAUACCUAGUGGGGAGUAACAGUGCUUCACUGAUGCAUGAGCUCCACAAACCUUCUUUGGGAUGGGGAUGCAAAGGAGAAGAGGACUCUGCUACUGUGUGGAGGACUGCAUUGCCUGCCCAGCCUUCUGAUGCACCAGGGCACUUACUGGAGUUCACGCGCAUGAUUAUGAACUUACAAGGAGCAAGACAUUUUAAAACGGCAGAAUCCAGCUUCCCAGCCAAGGAAGGGACGUAUGGCAUCUCCCUGAGUGCCGGGACUGCACUGUCCGAGCCUUAUUUUUUUCUCAGAAAGUGGAAAAGAGAAAGAAAGGACUCAGGAAUGAGACAGAGGUGAGAUCAAAUCCCAUGUCUGUUUCUUGCUCUGGGACCACAAGCAGAUCCCCUCACCUCUCGGAGACACAGCUUGUUUCAUCCGUAAAAUGGAAAUGGCAUCCAUUUCUGAGGGGCAUUUACAAAACUGCAUGACGUGGCGGAUAUAAAGCACCUAGCACAGACUCUGGUUUGUCCAGGU